UACGUAUGGGGCAAGCGUUAUCCGGAUUUACUGGGUGUAAAGGGAGCGCAGACGGAACUGCAAGUCUGAUGUGAAAGCCCGGGGCUCAACCGCGGGACUGCAUUGGAAACUGUAGAUCUGGAGUGCCGGAGGGGCAAGCGGAAUUCCUGGUGUAGCGGUGAAAUGCGUAGAUAUCAGGAGGAACACCGGCGGCGAAGGCGGCUUGCUGGACGGCAACUGACGUUGAGGCUCGAAAGCGUGGGGAGCAAACAGGAUUAGAUACCCU
rnacentral:rRNA from 1 species